rnacentral:rRNA from 1 species
UACGAAGGGGGCUAGCGUUGCUCGGAAUCACUGGGCGUAAAGCGCACGUAGGCGGCUUGUUAAGUCAGGGGUGAAAUCCUGGAGCUCAACUCCAGAACUGCCUUUGAUACUGGCGAGCUUGAGUUCGGGAGAGGUGAGUGGAACUGCGAGUGUAGAGGUGAAAUUCGUAGAUAUUCGCAAGAACACCAGUGGCGAAGGCGGCUCACUGGGCCCGAUACUGACGCUGACGGUGCGAAAGCCAGGGGAGCGGAACGGG